UCUCCCUCCCUUUUUCGCAGCGCGAAACACCUGUGAUUAAUCGCGCCUUUAUAACGAAUGCACUGCAUUUCACUUCCGGAGAAACGCGCUCGCAUUACGAUUCGCUCCCGGCUUCGCAGUCGCGGCUUCGUCGGAGGCGACGGAGUCUUACGAACAAUCGCGAAAUUGUUUGAAAAGGAGAUCUCGUCGCUCGCUUCCUCGUUUAUCGGUGGCGGAGACGCGGCGACACGUCGGCGCACGAAGGAUAUUCUCCUCAGUUUCGUUCUCGUUUACACACUCGUGCGCGGUAAUCGCUGACACAAGAGAUCGCGGAUUCUCCGCGAAAAGUCCUGCUUCUUGCAAAUUCUUUCUCUGAUAUGGAUUCGUCGACGCGCACCGGGGAACGGCUGGACUCUCCGUCGAGACGAAAUCCUGGCGAAGCCUCGGAACCUGCCGUCGAUCCCUCGACGCCCCGAGUCGAAAAAUUAAUAGGGCUCUGAUUUCCAAAGGAAGACGUUAUUCGUCAACAAUGGCUUGAUGUCUUACAAAGGAAGGACAUAAAAGUUGAUACAGCAAUGAUGUGUAGUAAUCAUUUUGAUGCUGAUUGUUUCGUAAUGGAGUGGACAAAACCUAGAUUGAAAAAUGUACCUGCCAAAGAAGUGAAACGAUUAAAAAAAGAAUUCCAUUCCAACAAAAAUGUUUAAUCUUGAAAAGAAAAAUAAGAUAAUACCAGA
rnacentral:sRNA from 1 species